UGCUGGAGGUGGUAAGUCGCAACCCAUGGAGUAAGUGCAGGAAACCCUUCUACUGCAGCUUCGAACACUGACAAUGCACAUGUAUCUACUGAGAGACUAGUGACUGAUGGUGAGAUCACCAGGCUAGCAAGACACCUCCCUCACGGAAGUUACAGUCAGCUGU